AAUCCAUAGGUUAAUGAGGCGAACCGGGGGAACUGAAACAUCUAAGUACCCCGAGGAAAAGAAAUCAACCGAGAUUCCCCCAGUAGCGGCGAGCGAACGGGGAGGAGCCCAGAGCCUGAAUCAGCAUGUGUGUUAGUGGAAGCGUCUGGAAAGGCGCGCGAUACAGGGUGACAGCCCCGUACACAAAAGCGCAUGUGCUGUGAGCUCGAUGAGUAGGGCGGGACACGUGGUAUCCUGUCUGAAUAUGGGGGGACCAUCCUCCAAGGCUAAAUACUCCUGACUGACCGAUAGUGAACCAGUACCGUGAGGGAAAGGCGAAAAGAACCCCGGCGAGGGGAGUGAAAAAGAACCUGAAACCGUGUACGUACAAGCAGUGGGAGCACCCUUUGGGUGUGACUGCGUACCUUUUGUAUAAUGGGUCAGCGACUUAUAUUCUGUAGCAAGGUUAACCGAAUAGGGGAGCCGGAGGGAAACCGAGUCUUAACCGGGCGUUAAGUUGCAGGGUAUAGACCCGAAACCCGGUGAUCUAGCCAUGGGCAGGUUGAAGGUUGGGUAACACUAACUGGAGGACCGAACCGACUAAUGUUGAAAAAUUAGCGGAUGACCUGUGGCUGGGGGUGAAAGGCCAAUCAAACCGGGAGAUAGCUGGUUCUCCCCGAAAGCUAUUUAGGUAGCGCCUCGUGAAUUCAUCUCCGGGGGUAGAGCACUGUUUCGGCUAGGGGGCCAUCCCGGCUUACCAACCCGAUGCAAACUGCGAAUACCGGAGAAUGUUAUCACGGGAGACACACGGCGGGUGCUAACGUCCGUCGUGAAGAGGGAAACAACCCAGACCGCCAGCUAAGGUCCCAAAGUCAUGGUUAAGUGGGAAACGAUGUGGGAAGGCCCAGACAGCCAGGAUGUUGGCUUAGAAG
rnacentral:rRNA from 1 species